rnacentral:rRNA from 1 species
GACGAACGCGGCGGCGUGCCUAAUACAUGCAAGUAGAACGCUGAAGGAGGAGCUUGCUUCUCUGGAUGAGUUGCGAACGGGUGAGUAACGCGUAGGUAACCUGCCUGGUAGCGGGGGAUAACUAUUGGAAACGAUAGCUAAUACCGCAUAAUAUUGACUAUUGCAUGAUAGUCAGUUGAAAGGUGCAAUUGCACCACUACCAGAUGGACCUGCGUUGUAUUAGCUAGUUGGUGGGGUAACGGCUCACCAAGGCGACGAUACAUAGCCGACCUGAGAGGGUGAUCGGCCACACUGGGACUGAGACACGGCCCAGACUCCUACGGGAGGCAGCAGUAGGGAAUCUUCGGCAAUGGACGGAAGUCUGACCGAGCAACGCCGCGUGAGUGAAGAAGGUUUUCGGAUCGUAAAGCUCUGUUGUAAGAGAAGAACGAGUGUGAGAGUGGAAAAGUUCACACUG